UUUAUUGGAGAAGUACAGAGGCAUAAGGAAAAAGAAGUUGCCAAGCUAUAUGGCAGGUGUUUGUGUAACUGUAUUUUUGACUAAGGAGAGGGGUUUUUAUUUUGCAGAGAUGAAGAAGUGGAAGCUGGAGGAACACCAGGAAAACCAGGUAUGAUCGGUGGGAAGAGUGGAGGGAGAGGUGGGAAGAGUGAAGGGGGCGGUGGUGGGGGAGAUGGAGUUAAACCAGGUAUGAGUGGUGGGAUAAACGGAGGGAAUAAUGAAGGUGGAGAACGUGGAGGUGAAGGGAUUAUUGGAGGAAAUAUUGAAGGUGGAGGUGAAGGGAAUAAGGGAGGAAAUAUGGAAGGAGGAGGAGAGGGGAUGACAGGAGGAAUAAUGGAAGGUGGAGGUAGAAAUGGGUUUGGAGGAAGGAUUGAAGGUGGUGGAAGAAGUGGAUUUGGAGGCAAGGGAAGUCCUCCUCCUAUUGGAUUGAAAAAAUUUGGCUUAGCUGCAGCUUCUGAUUGAGAGUAGUAUUUGCUAGAGUCUUUAGGCACUGGUGAUAUUGGAAGUCCUGGA
rnacentral:lncRNA from 1 species